rnacentral:rRNA from 1 species
UACGGAGGGGGUUAGCGUUGUUCGGAAUGACUGGGCGUAAAGCGCGCGUAGGCGGGCUGGAAAGUUGGGGGUGAAAUCCCGGGGCUCAACCCCGGAAUGGCCUUCAAAACUCCCAGCCUAGAGUUCGAGAGAGGUGAGUGGAAUUCCGAGUGUAGAGGUGAAAUUCGUAGAUAUUCGGAGGAACACCAGUGGCGAAGGCAGCCUCCUGGGCCAGCACUGACGCUCAUGCACGAAAGCGUGGGGAGCAAACAGG